rnacentral:rRNA from 1 species
CCUGCCCAAGAGAUCGGGAUAACACCUGGAAACNGAUGCUAAUACCGGAUAACAACAGAUGAUGCCUAUCAACUGUUUAAAAGAUGGUUCUGCUAUCACUCUUGGAUGGACCUGCGGUGCAUUAGCUAGUUGGUAGGGUAACGGCCUACCAAGGCGAUGAUGCAUAGCCGAGUUGAGAGACUGAUCGGCCACAUUGGGACUGAGACACGGCCCAAACUCCUACGGGAGGCAGCAGA